AUUUGGGUAUUCGGCAGCAUAUAUACUAAAAUUGAAAAGAUACAGGGAAGAUUAGCAUGGCCCCUGUGUAAGGAUGUCACACAAAUUUGUGUUUUUUGUUUUUUU